rnacentral:miRNA from 1 species
AGGUGGGAGGAUUGCUUGAGCCUGGGAGGUGGAGGUUGCAGUGACCUGAGAUCGUGCUACUGCACUCUAGCCUGGGCGAUAGAGCCAGACUUUGUCUC